AUUGAACGCUGGCGGCAUGCCUUACACAUGCAAGUCGAACGGCAGCACGGGUGCUUGCACCUGGUGGCGAGUGGCGAACGGGUGAGUAAUACAUCGGAACGUACCUUAUCGUGGGGGAUAACGCAGCGAAAGCUGUGCUAAUACCGCAUACGCCCUGAGGGGGAAAGCGGGGGAUCGAAGGACCUCGCGCGAUUAGAGCGGCCGAUGCCUGAUUAGCCUGUUGGUGGGGUAAAGCCCACCAAGGCGACGAUCAGUAGCUGGUCUGAGAGGACGAUCAGCCACACUGGGACUGAGACACGGCCCAGACUCCUACGGGAGGCAGCAGUGGGGAAUUUUGGACAAUGGGGGCAACCCUGAUCCAGCAAUGCCGCGUGAGUGAAGAAGGCCUUCGGGUUGUAAAGCUCUUUUGUCAGGGAAGAAACACCGGCUCUAACACAGUCCGGGAAUGACGGUACCUGAAGAAUAAGCACCGGCUAACUACGUGCCAGCCGCCGCCGUAA
rnacentral:rRNA from 1 species